rnacentral:lncRNA from 1 species
GAUUUUGCAGAAAUAUAUAGUUGGAUGAAAAAAUUGCAAAUCUAGGCCUUAUCGCCGACACCACAGACGCGUGUCCUUACUGCCGCUUGGGCCGACGCUAAGGCCCUGGGCCAGCGAUAAGGACCUCGCCUCCUGCACCGCUGCGGUACGACUAGCGCGUGGGCGGUAAGGGUCCUGAUGCCGCCUGGGCCGGCAAUAAGACCCCUUACCGCCGCCUGGGCCGG